GAAAGGGCAUAAAACCCGCCUCCUUCUGUUGAGCUAACUCGCGGAAAGAAAGAAGAGACGGAACAGAAAGAUGCAGAUCUUCGUGAAAACCCUAACCGGCAAGACCAUCACCCUCGAGGUCGAGUCCUCCGACACCAUCGACAAUGUCAAGGCCAAGAUCCAAGAAAAAGAAGGAAUCCCUCCGGAUCAGCAGAGGUUGAUCUUCGCCGGAAAGCAGCUCGAAGAUGGCCGUACUUUGGCUGACUACAACAUCCAGAAAUCAACUUUUAUCAAAUCUUUGUCCUAGUUAUUUACGUUUAUGUUGUGACUCUCUUGUCUGAAUAAAUAUCUGUUUACAGAGUCAACGCUUCAUCUUGUGUUGAGGCUUAGGGGAGGUAUCAUCGAGCCUUCUUUGAUGGCCUUGGCUCGUAAGUACAACCAGGACAAGAUGAUUUGCCGCAAAUGUACAGAAAUAUCACUUUUACAUGAGGGAUGAUGGAACUGAGAUCCUUCACUCAAAUCUCAGUAGUUUUGUUGAAGUGCAAAGCUAUAAGAACUCAGACGGUUAAAGGGCAGUUUCUGGUAGAACUUGGGAGGGAUGGUGAUAACCAGAUCUAUCCAAUUGAAUGGGGGAAAUGGUGAGAAAGAGAAUACAAAUAACUGAGAGUGGUUUGUGAAGAAGCUACAAGAAGACUUGGGUUUAGGUGAUGAAACAAGCUUUGUGAUGGUCUCAAAUCAGCAAAAGGUAAUGUUGGUUCUUUGUUAAUGCUUUAACCUUAUUUUUUUUCUUUUAAUUCCCAAUGUUAUUACUUGGAUGUUUGCUUUUGUAGAGAUUAAUCAGUGUUGUGAAGAGACAACUACUUGCUGCCGAAUAUAUGCAUUGUGUUAGACACAUUUAUGGUAAUAUCAAGUCAAUGUUCGGGAAGCUCAAUCCAAUGAAUAAGUUUGUUUGGGAUCUCGAUUGAAAAUUAAAAUAUAAGGGAUAAAUCGAGGUAAUAUGGAUAAAAAAAAAUUUUCUCGGCGACUGUUCUCAUGGCUGUAACCUUAGAGAAUCUGAGAGCUUAUGACAACAUAUUUUCCAGCCAACAGAAGAAAAAUGAAAGAGGAUUUCACAAGGUUGUUUGUCAUGGCGUUACUGAAUGACUUUAAAUCAGAAAAAUAAUAGAUGGCUGCUUACUUUUUGCAGAAAAGAAAUCUUGCAUAUUGAGAUAACCAUUUCUUUCGAACCGUUGAAAUUUUGGGAAAGAUCUCCAGAAUGGAUUUAACUUCGAAACUCUUCGAGGAAAACUAGUCAACUAUCUAAAGUCUUGUGGCUACAUACGACUGGAGGAUGUCGAGCUAUUGUCUUAUUUCGAGGUAGCCAUGACAGAUGAUGUAUUUUUCUCCUACGGAAUUAAUCAAAGAUAAAGAUACCGCCGACAAAGCAACAAUUGUGGGCACUGUGGACUGGUUUCACAAUUAUCUUGACAAGCACCACGAACCAACGACAAUGCUUGUGAUUUCCGGAGAUGUUGAUAUGAUUUAUACAAUAAGAGCAGUUAUAGCUCUCUUGGUUUUAAAGUGUUUCUUGUAAUGGAUAAGAAUAUUUGUUUUGUACUUUGACAGUUUGUUUCACAAUAGGAAAUUGAUGAUACAAUAUGUAGAGGGUCUGAGGAGAAUUUAUGUUAGAAGAAAGUGAUAUACAUUUUCUACGAUAUUUUGUGAUUAUUGAGUAAUAGCUUGGUAAUCAAUUGUGAAGAAAACUAAUUAUGUUUGCAGCAGUGCUAGUGCACUAAAGCACCAUGGAGGUUAAAUUAUAAUCUGUUGUGGUUUCUUUUAUCUUUUAGUUUUGACAAUCUAGUUUUUGGUUACAUUGUGAUAUGUUUAUGCGUAAUCAUAUACAAAUCUAUAUUGACAAAAGUAAAAAAAAAAAAAGAGAGUUCAAGUUAAUAAAAACCAAUAAAAAAUAAACUCAAACAUGUGUGAACCAAAAUUGAUUAAAAUUUGGUUCAAUUUAAAGUUAAAACAAAAUUAAAUUAAACUUAAGUUUCUCCAUUGAUAAUCAGUUUAAACUGAACUCCAUCAAAUCAAACUUUGGGUGACAGUACUUUAGACCAAACAAAAUCAGUAGUAAACUGAACUAACUCCAAAAAUUGAAGGUUUAUCUUGCAUUUCUUUAAUCACAUUUUAAUAUACAAUUUUUUUUUUCAUUUAGAGUAUUCUUUUUGAAAAAAAAAUCCGUAUUUUAUGAACAUCUAAGAGUGAAGAAUCACAUAGUGUUUUCCAAACCUCUUAAAAUCAUUGAGACCAAUUCCAUCAUCAAUCACCGAGACCGAUUCCUCCUAAAAUCUAAUCCAUUCAAUGUUGUAUCUUCUUGGAUUUUUUGCGUUGCACAAUAUUCGCUUCUCAUCACUAUCGUAUUACACCAUCAUCGCUUCUCAAAAUUUUGGUAAGUAAUCCUCUGAUUCGCUAUUUGUUUAAGUUGGUUUCCGAUGUAUUGAAUUUUAUACUAUUUCUCUUAAAGAUUGUUAUUGACAUGAUUUGGAUUUCAGUAUUAUGGUGAAACAUGAGAUAAGUAGAUUGAAUAUAUUUUCUAGCCUAGAGCAUGUAUGAUUUAAUGUCUUAGCUGAGAUUACGGUUUACAAAUAUGUAUGUUGUCAGCAGGAAAAGAAAAAAACGAGAGAAACGGGAUAUAGACUUUGUUGUUCCUUAUUUUUGAUAUGCUUAAAAACUUGAUUUUCAAGAGAGUGCAUUUGUGAAGAGAAUAAAUGGAAGAUAUUUUCGUUAAGUUUUUGGUGACUGCAUCUCUCAUGGAUUGCAAAUCAAAGAAGGAAGUUGCAAAAAUAUUUUGGGUGUGAAAUGAUGGAAGAGUUGAGAGGUUUAAGAUUAUACAUGAGUUUAAUAAGUUAGUUCUAAAGGAUGUAGAGGAAAAGCUUUUCCAAAAAAAAAAUUUCUUAAAGGCUUGUUGUAGAGAAGAAAAUGAGUAGUUUAUGAGUGGAGAAAGGUUUGAUGCGGAAUCGAGAAAUUGAGCCGAUAUUAUUGAGGUUUUGGGGUUGAAAGGUUUGUUAAGUGAAAUUUGGUUCUUUGGGUAUUUUGAAUCCGGCAAAAGUUUGAUGAGUUUUCACGAUGGUAUGAGAGCUCCGUGGAACAUAAGAAUUUCAGUUUACCAGAAUGAUUUGAUGUCCUUACUCUCUCCCCAAACCUACAAUACUUUCUGAAUGAUCAGGGUCACAAAGGAAAGUUAGAGAUCACAACUUAUUCAGAAAGAUUCAUAGAUAAAAUUUUAUUCUUUUGCUUAAUACUUAAUGGAAACAUAUUGCUUAUUUUGUGUGAUCAUGGUCUUUGAAAUUUGAUUUUUCAGUGAAAUUAGUAUUUAAACCUAUAGCAGAUAAAACUAUAAUUGCGGGCAUAAUCUACUGGGAUCAUGCUUACUUGGAUGAAAACCAUGAAGCUUGUACCAUGUUAAUUAUUUCAGGUGAUACAGAUGGUUAGAAAGCUAGGGUUCACUGUGAUUCUCGCAGGGCCUGAGGAUUCUAUCAUAGCAUAAAAAGUUGAAGAAAUUGUUUAUGCUACUUAUUGUUGGGAAAACAUGAUUUGGCUGCAUUCAAGAUGAAGUUGUUUGAGGUAAGCAUUGUUUCUUCUUUAUACGAAAUGUAUAGUUUUGAGGAGAAUUUAUGUUAGAAGUAAGUAAGUGGGGUAUGCAUUUGCUACAAUAUUUUGUGAUUAUUGAGUAAUAGUUUGGUAAUCAAUUGUGAGGAAAACUUAUUUUGUUUGCAGAACUAGUCCAUUGCUAGUGCAAUCUUUGUCUACAUCCGACUCAUAUUUUGUAUAACACUUGGAUCCUUUAGUACCCGAAGAUAAUAUGAUCCUUAAACCAUCAAACCUUAUAGAAAUCUAUUUUGACAAAAGUAAAAAUUAGCUCAAGUUAAUAAACACCAAUAUAAAAGUAAGCCCAACAUGUGUGAACCAAAUUUGAGAUAGAUUUGGUUCAAAUUAAAGUUAAACCAAAAAUAAAUUAAACUAAAGUCUCUCCAUUGAUAAUCAUUUUAAAACUGAAUGCCAUCAAAUCAAAAUUUGGGUGAUAAUACUUUAGACCAAACCAAAUCGGUAGUAAACCAAAGUUAAAUCCAAAAAUCAGAGGUUUAUCCUACCAUUUUCAAAGUGACAAUUUGAUAUUCAUAUUUUUUUUCAUUUAGAGGGUUCUUUUUGCAAAAAGAAAAAAAUGAAAUCCACUUUUUUUCUGAACACAUAAGAGUGAAGAUUCACACAGUGCUCGCCAAACCUCAUAAAAUCACAUAGACCGAUUUCUCCUAAAAUCUAAUCCUAUCAACACUGUAUCUUCUUGGAUUGUCCGUGUAACACUGUCAUAUUUGACCAUCAUCGCUUCUCAAAAUUUAGUAAAAAUUCUCUGAUUCGCUAUUUUUUUUAAGUUGGUUUGCGCUGUAUUGAAUUUUUAACUAUUUCUCUUCGAAAUUGUUAUUGACAUGAUUUUGGUUUCAGUUUUAUGGUGAAACAUGAGAUAAGUAGAUUGAGGAAAUUUUCUAGCCUAGAGAAUGUCUAAUUCAAUGCAUUUGUUGAGUUUACGGUUUACAAAUAUGUAUCUUCCCAGCAGGAAAAAGAUUAAAUAGAGAAAAUGGAUAUAAACUCUAUUUGAGGAUGAUUUUUGUUAGAAGUAAGUAAGUGGAGUAUACAUUUGAUAGAUAUUUUGUGAUUAUUGAAUAACAGUUCAGUAUGAAUUCUGUGGAAAAUUGAUUCUGUUUGCAGCAGUACUAGUAAUGUGAUAUUGGGUUCAUAUGUGAAGCUAUGGACAUGGAAGACAUUCAGAAAUUGACCCAAGAUAUUAGCUAAUAUGUCAAACCUAUUUUUAUCAAGUUACAAGACCAAGAAGAUUCAAAAUCAAAUGGUUUCUUUGCUGUCCAAAGAGAGUGACGAAAAUUAGGUGGUUAAUUGCAUGAAAAGCUUCUCUCUCCUCGAUGCAAAGAAUGCUUGUUUAAAGAACACUCUCUCUCAUCCAUGCACUAGUUUUAUCAUUUCCAAUGUAAUAACUAUCUAGCUUUGUGAGCAAGUUUAGUCUCUUAUAAAUAAGUUGUAAUCUCCAUUGAAAUAAAAUAAGUUUUGAGUGAUUA